UACGGGGGGAGCAAGCGUUGUUCGGAUUUACUGGGCGUAAAGGGCGCGUAGGCGGCAUGACAAGUCACUUGUGAAAUCUCUGGGCUUAACCCAGAACGGCCAAGUGAUACUGUCACGCUAGAGUGCGGAAGGGGCAAUCGGAAUUCUUGGUGUAGCGGUGAAAUGCGUAGAUAUCAAGAGGAACACCUGAGGUGAAGACGGGUUGCUGGGCCGACACUGACGCUGACAGCGCGAAAGCCAGGGGAGCAAACGGG
rnacentral:rRNA from 1 species